UAAUACGUAGGUGGCAAGCGUUGUCCGGAAUUAUUGGGCGUAAAGCGCGCGCAGGCGGUUCCUUAAGUCUGAUGUGAAAGCCCACGGCUCAACCGUGGAGGGUCAUUGGAAACUGGGGGACUUGAGUGCAGAAGAGGAGAGCGGAAUUCCACGUGUAGCGGUGAAAUGCGUAGAGAUGUGGAGGAACACCAGUGGCGAAGGCGGCUCUCUGGUCUGUAACUGACGCUGAGGCGCGAAAGCGUGGGGAGCAAACAGGAUUAGAUACCCUGGUAGUCCACGCCGUAAACGAUGAGUGCUAAGUGUUAGAGGGUAUCCACCCUUUAGUGCUGUAGCUAACGCAUUAAGCACUCCGCCUGGGGAGUACGCUCGCAAGAGUGAA
rnacentral:rRNA from 1 species